AGCACCCCCCGCGACCCUUGUGAGGAUAAGCGGAUCGGAAAAUGGAUGGAUGGGUGAACUUUUGUCCAUUUAUCAAUAGAAAAGUAAAGGUUACCAACAAAAGCUGCGGUGGCGAGUAAAGGAGUCUCCAUUCUUAUCAUUUUAGCUUUGGACCACUUGUCAUGUGUGGCUUAAGGUCAUGUGGCACUAACACACUGGGACAGUGUCCAGUAUGUGUGUAUUCACAGGGUGGAAGGAGGUUUUUCUUGGUGGCUGUGCUGCAAGCUUGAGAUCAGGGACACUUUGGAGAAUGCCGAACAGGAAGUUAAAAGGUUACAUUUCCAUAUGACCAUGUACGGCAGUGGAGCCGUGUUGUCAUGUGGUGUAAUGGGUAAAAUUGUAUGGACUGUAACUAUAGCUCCUUACAUAUUAGUCAUCUAAGCCAUCUUUUUUUCUGCCAUUGAACUGUCUCGCCAUCUGUCUACAGGGCACCUUUGUGAGACUGGGAAGUUGAAGUUAACCUGAGAAUGUGGCGGCUUCUGAGGUAGUAUCAAUGGCUUCGUGCAUGGGUCUAUGUAUUGACAGGUGACAGAUCUUCUGGGCCACCGAGCCGGACAGGCAAGGCGCAUCACUGUCCCCUCACGGCCGGCCUGACAUACAGCCAGACCUACCAUGACAGGCGUAAGUAACACGUUUUAGCCUGAAAGUUAACAACUUUCGACACAUAAACAGCACAAAAGCUGCCCAUCCAGCGUGUAUAUUUUCCAUACUAAUUAAAGGCACUGCGUCAUGUUGUCA